AGGGGAUUGGCCAAGCGGUAAGGCAUCGCCCUUUGACGGCGACAUGCGUUGGUUCGAAUCCAACAUCCCCUA
rnacentral:tRNA from 1 species